rnacentral:rRNA from 1 species
AUGACGCUGGCGGCAGGCCUAACACAUGCAAGUCGAGCGGCAGCGGAAAGUAGCUUGCUACUUUGCCGGCGAGCGGCGGACGGGUGAGUAAUGUCUGGGAAACUGCCUGAUGGAGGGGGAUAACUACUGGAAACGGUAGCUAAUACCGCAUAACGUCGCAAGACCAAAGAGGGGGACCUUCGGGCCUCUUGCCAUCAGAUGUGCCCAGAUGGGAUUAGCUAGUAGGUGGGGUAACGGCUCACCUAGGCGACGAUCCCUAGCUGGUCUGAGAGGAUGACCAGCCACACUGGAACUGAGACACGGUCCAGACUCCUACGGGAGGCAGCAGUGGGGAAUAUUGCACAAUGGGCGCAAGCCUGAUGCAGCCAUGCCGCGUGUAUGAAGAAGGCCUUCGGGUUGUAAAGUACUUUCAGCGGGGAGGAAGGCGUUGAGGUUAAUAACCUCAGCGAUUGACGUUACCCGCAGAAGAAGCACCGGCUAACUCCGUGCCAGCAGCCGCGGUAAUACGGAGGGUGCAAGCGUUAAUCGGAAUUACUGGGCGUAAAGCGCACGCAGGCGGUCUGUCAAGUCGGAUGUGAAAUCCCCGGGCUCAACCUGGGAACUGCAUUCGAAACUGGCAGGCUAGAGUCUUGUAGAGGGGGGUAGAAUUCCAGGUGUAGCGGUGAAAUGCGUAGAGAUCUGGAGGAAUACCGGUGGCGAAGGCGGCCCCCUGGACAAAGACUGACGCUCAGGUGCGAAAGCGUGGGGAGCA